CAAUAGCGUAUAUUAAAGUUGUUGCGGUUAAAAAGCUCGUAGUUGGAUUUCUGCUGAGAACGACCGGUCCGCCCUUUGGGUGUGUAUCUGGCUCUUUCUUGGCAUCUUCUUGGUGAACGUUGCUGCACUUGACUGUGUGGAGCGCUACCCAGGACUUUUACUUUGAGGAAAUUAGAGUGUUUCAAGCAGGCAUACGCCUUGAAUACAUUAGCAUGGAAUAAUAAGAUAGGACCUCGGUUCUAUUUUGUUGGUUUCUAGAGCUGAGGUAAUGAUUAAUAGGGAUAGUUGGGGGCAUUCGUAUUUAACCGUCAGAGGUGAAAUUCUUGGAUUUGUUAAAGACGGACUACUGCGAAAGCAUUUGCCAAGGAUGUUUNCAUUGA
rnacentral:rRNA from 1 species